rnacentral:rRNA from 1 species
GACGAACGCUGGCGGCGCGCUUAACACAUGCAAGUCGAGCGAGAACCCAGGCUUCGGCCUGGGGGAAAGCGGCGAACGGGUGAGUAACACGUGGGUAAUCUGCCCUCGGCAUCGGGAUAGCCCGGGGAAACCCGGAUUAAUACCGGAUGGCCCGACAGCUCUUCGGAGUGGUCGGAAAAGGUAGCUUCGGCCUCCGGCCGCGGAGGAGCCGGCGGCGGAUUAGCUUGUUGGUGAGGUAAAGGCUAACCAAGGCGCCGAUCCGUAGCUGGUCUGAGGGGCCGAUGAGCCACACUGGGGAUGAGACACGGCCCAGACUCCUACGGGAGGCAGCAGUGGGGAAUCUUGCGCAAUGGGCGAAAGCCUGACGCAGCGACGCCGCGUGAGGGAAGAAGGCCUUCGGGUUGUAAACCUCUUUCAGGAGGGACGAAGCCACUCGGGUUAAUAGCCCAGAGGGUGACGGUACCUCCAGAAGAAGCCCCGGCUAACUACGUGUCAGCCGCCGCAGUAA